AGCGAACGCUGGCGGCAGGCUUAACACAUGCAAGUCGAGUGGAGCGGCAGACGGGUGAGUAACGCGUGGGAACGUACCUUUUGGUUCGGACCCACACAGGGAAACUUGUGCUAAUACCGGAUACCGAAAGAUCGGCCCGCGUCUGAUUAGCUCGUUGGUGAGGUAAUGGCUCACCAAGGCGCCGAUCAGUAUCUGGUCUGGGAGGAUGAGCAGCCACAUUGGGACUGAGACACGGCCCAAACUCCUACGGGAGGGAGCAGUGGGGAAUAUUGGACAAUGGGGGCAACCAUGAUCCAGCCACGCCGCGUGAGUGAUGAAGGCCCUAGGGUUGUAAAGCUCUUUUGUGCGGGAAGCGGUACCGCAAGAAUAAGCCCCGGCUAACUUCGUGCCAGCAGCCGCGGUAAUUC
rnacentral:rRNA from 1 species